UACAGAGGGGGCAAGCGUUGUUCGGAAUUACUGGGCGUAAAGGGCGCGUAGGCGGCCUUCUAAGUCGAAACGUGAAAUCCCCGGGCUCAACCCGGGAACUGCGUCCGAUACUGGAAGGCUUGAAUCCGGGAGAGGGAUGCGGAAUUCCAGGUGUAGCGGUGAAAUGCGUGAGAUAUCUGGAAGGAACACCGGUGGCGAAGGCGGCAUCC
rnacentral:rRNA from 1 species